rnacentral:rRNA from 1 species
ACGGAAGGCAGCAGUGGGGAAUAUUGCACAAUGGGGGGAACCCUGAUGCAGCGACGCCGCGUGAGUGAAGAAGUAUCUCGGUAUGUAAAGCUCUAUCAGCAGGGAAGAAAAUGACGGUACCUGACUAAGAAGCCCCGGCUAACUACGUGCCAGCAGCCGCGGUAAUACGUAGGGGGCAAGCGUUAUCCGGAUUUACUGGGUGUAAAGGGAGCGUAGACGGUCUGGCAAGUCUGAUGUGAAAGGCAGGGGCUCAACUCCUGGACUGCAUUGGAAACUGUCGGACUGGAGUGCCGGAGAGGUAAGCGGAAUUCCUAGUGUAGCGGUGAAAUGCGUAGAUAUUAGGAGGAACACCAGUGGCGAAGGCGGCUUACUGGACGGUAACUGACGUUGAGGCUCGAAAGCGUGGGGAGCAAACAGGAUUAGAUACCCUGGUA